GACGAACGCUGGCGGCGUGCUUAACACAUGCAAGUCGAACGGAAAGGCCUCUUUCGGGGGGUACUCGAGUGGCGAACGGGUGAGUAACACGUGAGUAACCUGCCCUUGACUUUGGGAUAACUUCAGAAAACUGGGGCUAAUACCGGAUAGGAGCUCCUGCUGCAUGGUGGGGGUUGGAAAGUUUCGGCGGUUGGGGAUGGACUCGCGGCUUAUCAGCUUGUUGGUGGGGUAGUGGCUUACCAAGGCUUUGACGGGUAGCCGGCCUGGGAGGGUGACCGGCCACAGUGGGACUGAGAUACGGCCCAGACUCCUACGGGAGGCAGCAGUGGGGAAUAUUGCACAAUGGGUGGAAGCCUGAUGCAGCAACGCCGUGUGCGGGAGGACGGCGUUCGAGUUGUAAACCGCUUUCGCUCAUGACGAAGCUUUGUGUGACGGUAGUGGGUAAAGAAGCACCGGCUAACUACGUG
rnacentral:rRNA from 1 species